rnacentral:rRNA from 1 species
UACGGAGGAUGCAAGCGUUAUCCGGAUUUAUUGGGCGUAAAGCGUCCGCAGGUGGCUGAUCAAGUCUGCUGUUAAAGCGUGGAGCUUAACUCCAUACAGGCAGUGGAAACUGAUGAGCUAGAGUCUGGUAGGGGUCACGGGAAUUCCCAGUGUAGCGGUGAAAUGCGUAGAUAUUGGGAAGAACACCAGCGGCGAAAGCGCGUGACUGGGCCGGAACUGACACUCAUGGACGAAAGCUAGGGGAGCGAAAGGG